GACGAACUGUCCAAACGUUGUUCGGAAUCACUGGGCUUAAAGGGUGCGUAGGCGGUCUGGUAAGUCGGGGGGGAAAUCCUGCAGCUCAACUGCAGAAGUGCCUUCGAUACUGCCAGUCUGGAGGGAGAUAGGGGUGUGCGGAACUUCCAGUGGAGCGGUGAAAUGCGUUGAUAUUGGAAGGAACGCCGGAGGCGAAAGCGGCGCACUGGAUCUCUUCUGACGCUGAGGCACGAAAGCUAGGGGAGCAAACGGG
rnacentral:rRNA from 1 species